rfam:Ictidomys tridecemlineatus contig032260, whole genome shotgun sequence.
GGGAUAGUGGCUCAGUGGUAGAGCGCUCACCUAGCACGUGUGAGCCACUGAGUUCGAUCCUUAGCCUCA